CAAAAACAUGUCUUUUUGAAAAUAAUUUAAAGUCUAAUCUGCCCACUGAUAAUUUAUUAAAGGGCUGCAGUAUUUUGACUGUACAAAGGUAGCAUAAUCAAUAGUCUCUUAAUUAGUGACUUGUAUGAAAGAUUGGAUGAAAUAUAUUCUGUCUCUAAUUAAUUUAUAGAAAUUAAUUUUUUAGUAAAAAAGCUAAAAUAAUUUUAAAAGACGAGAAGACCCUAUAGAGUUUAAUAAUUUAUUUAAUUAUUAUUAAUAUAUAAUUUUUAAAAUUAAAAUUAAAUAAAUUAUUUUGUUGGGGUGAUAGAAAAAUUAAAUUAACUUUUUUUAUUUAUUAACAUUAAUUUAUGAUUAGAUGAUCCAUUAAUAAUGAUUAAAAGAAAAAAUUACCUUAGGGAUAACAGCGUAAUUUUUUUUUUUAGUUCAAAUAGGAAAAAAAGUUUGCGACCUCGAUGUUGGAUUAAGAUAAAAUUUAAAUGCAAAAGUUUAAAAUUUUGAUCUGUUCGAUCAUUAAAAUCUUACAUGAUCUGA
rnacentral:rRNA from 1 species